rnacentral:rRNA from 1 species
GAGAAUAAGGCGCAACCCUAUCAGCUUGUUGGUAGUGUAAAGGACUACCAAGGCCAUGACGGGUAACGGGAAAUCAGGGUUUGAUUCCGGAGAGGGAGCCUGAGAGAUGGCUCCCACGUCCAAGGACGGCAGCAGGCGCGAAACUUGUCCACUCCUUACGGGGGAGACAGUCAUGAGACGUGAGUAUAAGACCUGAGUGUAAAGACCUUAGGGUGAAGCAAUUGGAGGGCAAGCUUUGGUGCCAGCAGCCGCGGUAACUCCAACUCCAAGAGUGUCUAUGGUGGAUGCUG